AGACGAACCGUCCAAACGUUAUUCGGAAUUACUGGGCUUAAAGGGUGCGUAGGCGGUAUUGCAAGUUGGGUGUGAAAUCCCUCGGCUCAACCGAGGAAUUGCGCCCAAUACUGCAGUGCUAGAGGGAGACAGAGGUGAGCGGAACUUGUGGUGGAGCGGUGAAAUGCGUUGAUAUCACAAGGAACACCUGUGGCGAAAGCGGCUCACUGGGUCUCUUCUGACGCUGAGGCACGAAAGCUGGGGGAGCGAACGGGAUUAGAUACCCCGGUAGUCCCAGCUGUAAACUUUGAGCACUAGACCGGAGGACCCCCCAUAGUUUUCCGGUCGUAGCGAAAGUGUUAAGUGCUCCGCCUGGGGAGUAUGGUCGCAAGGCUGAA
rnacentral:rRNA from 1 species